GCACCGGGUGGCGAAAUGGUAACGCGGUAGGGCUGCAAAGCCCUAUAUACUGUAGGUUCAAGUCCUGCCCCGGUGCUUA
rnacentral:tRNA from 1 species